AAGCCAGACAGGAGCUGCACGUGUGGAACCUCGGCUCUGCAACCUAUCACCAUAAACUCCCCUACUCUGUCCACCAUUGUAAGAGCUAGCCAAUACAGGUGAAUUUCUACUUGAUCCAACACUACCAUCAGCUACUCCAGUCCUAUCAUACUUCCAUAUGCUAGAAUCCUGAGAUGCCAUCUUCCUGACAGCAGAUGCAAAAUCUGUAGCACCUCGAAAAGGGAUGGAAGAGCCAGAUCUAAAAAGAAGGGUGCUCUCUUUUUCAGAAGGCCUAUAGGGAUUGACAUUUUGUUGAGCAUCACUGCCAGAGUACUUUAGGCUGCUGUUUUGACUUUCUGCCACAGAAAGAGCAGGGAAAUCCAGAGCACUAAGAUUUGGAGCCGACAAGGCUUUUGAAUUCAGAUUUUGAUUAAACCCACCAUCAACUUGAAGCUCAAGCUGAGUAAGCAUUUCAAUUGUCAGAUUCAAGUCACCUCCAUUGGCAUAGUACACCUCUCCAAGACUUUCAGCAGCAAAACCAGGAAAUUGAGAGGCUAAAAAUUCAAGAGGGUUUACAUCUGCUUCAAAAAAUGGUUGCUCGUUCAUCAUGUCUCCAAAGAAGCUGUUUCCUGAAUUCCCGUUAUAAUGAGGCCCCUCCCUAAUAUUGGCAAAGGGCUGGUCACUAGUCAGCGAUGGCUUGUCCCAGGGUUUAGAAGGCAGAUGAAAACUAGUUGAGGAUGCAUCUUCGCCAAAAGAUGUAAUAGGAUAUCCUGUCUUUUCAACAAAACUAGUACCAUUAAUGCGAUUAGGAGAUAACUCCAGCUGGUCCUUCAACAUGAAGCCACUGCCAGUUGAGGCAGGGAAUAUUGAAGCUUCAUUGACAUCAGUUACUGAUAAUCUAGAAAAUGGAAGACUGCUGAUUCCAUGAGAAUCAUCUUCUCCCAUGACAUUAAAGUCCGGUGUAAUAUCAUCCGGGAGCUGGCGACGCCAAUACUGGUGUGCUUCAUCAUCUGAGUUGUUCGAAGCAGAUGAUUCUGAUCUAUCUAGUACAGCUUUUCCAAGAGUAGUAGUGGAGUUAGCGAACUUUGAUGCAUCGGUGCUGCUAGUGCUACCUGAGGGUGAUCUGAGUGCAAAGGGUACAAAUUCUGCGGCAUUUGGAUUCAAGCUUGUCGCUUUUGCUAAGGUUAGCUUUUUGUCACUGGUUGGAGUCCCUUUUCCUGAUAAGCUCAUUCUUUUUUCUUCGUUAUUAUUUUUCCUUUGUUUUGUUUCUAGUUGGUUAAGAAAAAAGGGUGUCUACAUACAUCAUGAAACUUCUAAUUAUAAGAUGGCGCAACUAUGCAGUCAAUAUCACCCAAACCCUUUACGAAGCUCGAUUAUGGACGAAACAUAAUUGAAUGGAUCCAUUAACAGAGAAAAAUACAAAGCAAAUAGAUAUGAGAAUUCUUCUGCUUGGCUGCUGUUCUUCGUCUUCUUCAAUGUCUUAAGCUGAGGUAGAGAGAGAAAGUGAGAGAGAGAAAG
rnacentral:misc_RNA from 1 species